GGACGAACGCUGGCGGCGUGCUUAACACAUGCAAGUCGAGCGGUAAGGCCCUUUCGGGGGUACACGAGCGGCGAACGGGUGAGUAACACGUGGGUGACCUGCCCUCAGCUCUGGGAGUAAGCCUGGGAAACCGGGUCUAAUACUGGAUAUGACUCCAUGACGCAUGUUGUGGGGUGGAAAGACCUUGUGCGGCCGAGGAUGGGCCCGCGGCCUAUCAGCUUGUUGGUGGGGUGAUGGCCACCAAGGCGACGACGGGUAGCCGGCCUGAGAGGGCGACCGGCCACACUGGGACGUGAGACACGGCCCAGACUCCUACGGGAGGCAGCAGUGGGGAAUCUUGCGCAAUGGGCGAAAGCCUGACGCAGCGACGCCGCGUGAGGGAUGACGGCCUC
rnacentral:rRNA from 1 species